rnacentral:rRNA from 1 species
CACGUAGUUAGCCGUCCCUUUCUGGGUAGUUACCGUCACUUGAUGAGCUUUCCACUCUCACCAACGUUCUUCUCUACCAACAGAGUUUUACGAUCCGAAAACCUUUUUCACUCACGCGGCGUUGCUCGGUCAGACUUUCGUCCAUUGCCGAAGAUUCCCUACUGCUGCCUCCCGUAGGAGUUUGGGCCGUGUCUCAGUCCCAAUGUGGCCGAUCACCCUCUCAGGUCGGCUAUGUAUCAUCGCCUUGGUGAGCCUUUACCUCACCAACUAGCUAAUACAACGCGGGAUCAUCUUUGAGUGAUGCAAUUGCAUCUUUCAAACUUAAACUUAUGUUUAAAGUUAUUAUGCGGUAUUAGCAUUUCGUUUCCAAAUGUUGUCCCCCGCUCAAAGGCAGACUUCCCCACGCCGUUACUCCACCCGUUCGCUGCUCUUCAAUUGUGCAAGCACAAUCUUCAUCGCUCAACUUGCAUGUAUUAGGCACGCCGCCAGCGUCUCUCGUGCAACGG